rnacentral:rRNA from 1 species
UACGGAGGAUGCGAGCGUUAUCCGGAUUUAUUGGGUUUAAAGGGUGCGCAGGCGGAAUGUCAAGUCAGCGGUAAAAUUUCGGGGCUCAACCCCGUCGUGCCGUUGAAACUGGCGUUCUUGAGUGAGCGAGAAGUAUGCGGAAUGCGUGGUGUAGCGGUGAAAUGCAUAGAUAUCACGCAGAACUCCGAUUGCGAAGGCAGCGUGCCGUGCCGCCACUGACGCUGAGGCACGAAAGCGCGGGGAUCGAACAGG